rnacentral:rRNA from 1 species
AUGAACGUUAGAGUUCCGCCUGAUACAUGCAAGUCGAACGUAAGUUUAUAUUCUAAUAAACUAAGUGGCGAGCGAGUGAGUAAUGUGCAUGAAGUAUACCCAUUAAUUCGGAAUAUGUCCAGUCUGGAGAAAAAUACCGAAUAAAUAUAAAGACUUUCCAAAAAGCUUUAUUAGUAAAGAUAAGAUCGUUAUUGGAUUAGCAUGCAUCGAAUUAAAUAGAUGGUAGGGUAAUGGCCUACCAUGUUGAUGAUUCGUAACUGGAUUGGGAGAUCGAUCAGUCACGUUGGAACUUAAAUAAGGAACAACCUGCUUUGGCGGGCUGCAGUAGGGAAUUUUGGACAAUGGGCGAAAGCCUGAUCCAGCGAGAAUUUGUGUGGGAGGAAGGCAUCAAAGCCGUAAACCACUUUCGGUAGGGAAGAUAAUGACGGUACCUACAGUAAGAAGUACUGACUAAUUCUGU